rfam:Mosquito mitochondrial DNA with 7 tRNA genes downstream of cytochrome oxidase III gene
AUUUAAAUAGCUUAUAAUUAGAGCAUAACAUUGAAGAUGUUGGGGAAAUUAUUUUAAUUUUUAAAUA